GUAUUUAUUAUUUUUACAUAAGAAAACAUUUAUAUGAGAAAAAGUAUCAGCAGAGCUUACACAGUGAUAGGAUUAUACAUCAUGAUUUCCUCUUUAAACAUCUUUAUAAUUAUCAAACAUGAGUGAUUAAAAAAACUGAAGCUAAAGGUAGCAAUAUUCUCUAUACUGGCAGAUUUUUCAGCAUUGCAUAUGAACCCACCUCCGGUAAGUGGGUUAUCUUUCUAAUUUAUGACUUCAGUGAAAUCUGUUUCCUGGCAAUGGUUGCCAGGGCACGCCUUCUCUCUUGUUCUCCGUCAUGCUUACUUUUAAGCCUAAGGGCAAGAAAGAAAUAGACAGAAAGCAAGAAGUAGCAUGAGCAUCUUUUUUUUUUUUUUUUUUUUUUUUGGCAUGUUGGAAAAAGGAGCUCUAAACACACUCCACUAAGCAUAGCACAUGCCUUGGAUUCAAGCAGUGGACCUCAAAGAGUAGCGUCUCCUUUUAAGCUUUGCAGGGCAAGUUUGGGGCACUGUCAGUGAAAAAUUGUCACUGCUUCUUGCCUUGGUGCUUGCCUGAACAACAAGGAGUUCUUCUAACUGCCUUAAAAGGAAUCUACUCCUCUCUCCCGCCACAGAUCAGGAGAUGGGGAGACAGAGGAAAGAAAGGAGAGAUCUGUGGAUCCCGUGAGCACCCCAAAUUGGAACCACUCCUUACCGUGUCUCAAGGAAGCAACAGACCUCCAAACUGCAUGGUGUACCUCAAAAGAGCAAGACCCAAGCAAAAAGCUGAGAGAAAAUGGUGGGUACAGAGUAGGAGUGAAACGAAGAAUGUCUUUCUG
rnacentral:lncRNA from 1 species